AAAAAGGGCUUUGAAAACCUUUUUUUUAGAAAAAGUGGCUGAAAUGAAAAAAUAAAUAAUUUUUUGGGCUUUUAUAUUGUUGGCAAAACGGCAGCGUUUUAGGGUGGGCUCUCCACGCGCAAAACGACGUCGUUUAGGCCUGGAUCAGCCCGAACCCGACCCGCCUGCCAAGGAUCCGCGUGUUUUUGCUGGAGGAGAUAUUUGCGCGCGCAGUCCCCCCGACUUUGCAGCACAUUGCAAUUUGAUCCCCUUCUCAUUAUUUUCUUCUUUUUAAAUUUAGCCACAAAAUUUAAUUUUUGUCCCAUUUUAGUCCGUAGCGGCGCAGUGUUUUGAAUGCUUGGUUUAUUUACAAUUUUGGUCCCCCCUCUUUCGGCGCACGACACAAUUUAACCCUUUUUUUAUUUUUUUAUUUCGAUUUCGCCCAGUACUUUUGUUUUUAUUUCGAUUAAGUCCAUAUUUAGCAAUUUUAUUAGUAUUAUUAUUAUUAUUAAUGUUAUUAUUAUUAUUAUUUCUAUAUUUCCUAUUAUAUUAUCAUUAUUAUAUAAGUGCAUAUAUAUAUUUUAUAUAAUUUAUUUAAUACAUAUAUAAAUACUCAUAUUUUAUCUAUUUUAUAAUUUAUAAAAGUAUCUAUAUAUAUCUAUAUAUAUAUAUAUAUUUUUACGAAUAUAUAUACACUAAUUUUAUAUACAUAUACGUGCAUAUGCAUACUUACAUAAAAUUUUUUAUUUGAUAAUUCAAAAUAUAUAUAUGUAUAUACAUACAUAUUCAUACAUACCUUUUAAUAUAUAUAUAUACAUGCAUACUUACAUAUAUUUUUGUGUACAUAGAUUUUUGAUAUUUUCAUAAUUUUAUACUUUACAAUUCUAACAUAUGUAUAUAUAUAUUAUAUUUUUAUUCAUUACCAUUGUUUUAUUUUGUAUUUACUAUUUAUUUAUUUCAUUUUCAUUAUUAUUCUAAAUGAAUAUUUUAAUUUUAUUCGUUUUUAUAUUUUAUUGAUUGUAUGUUGUAGGUUUGCCCUUUUUUUUUGUUUUUUUUUGUUAUUGUUAUCGUUGUUCGUAUCACUUUUAUACUUUCGUAUUCAUUAUGGUUUUGCUAUGGAUAAUAAAAUGUAAUUUGUUCUCACAUUCUUUACUACGAUUUUGUGUUUUAUUUUAUUCGAUAUACCGAAGUUUGUUUUGAAUAAAUAGCAUCAUGUUUAGAUUCGAGAAGAUUGUGCCCUAACUUACUGGGUUUCGAUCUUCACAACACAUCUAAAUGCACACUCUUUUCAAACUCAAGUUCUUAGUAAUCUCGAGAUUUAAAAAAUCGCGUUCUAACUUACUGGUCGUGAUAUCCUUUUUUAAAUCCGAGAUAGCUAAAAUAUCUUUUAAAUAAGUAAAUUUUGGCAUUCGUUUGUGUAUCGGGAAUUCGAGACAUUGUAUCCUAACUUACUGGAUAUGAUUCUCUUUCUCACAUGAAAUAUGCCACUUUUUCCAAAAUUUUCAACAUUUUAAUACAAGGAUCGUAUUUUUAAAAUUCUUCAAAGUUUUCAAUUUUCGACAUUAAGACAUUAACUAAUCAACUAGGUACCAAUUUUGGGCGUUACGAGGGUACUAAUCCUUCCUCGUACGUAACCGACUCCCGAACCCGUUUUCUGAAUUUUGUAGACCAAACUCGUUGUUUUAAUAAAAUUAAAUUAUUUAUUAAAAACAACCGCUUUUAAAGGUGACUCGAUCACACCUCAUCAAAAAAGAUUGGUGGCGACUCCCACUUUCGUUUUCAUUUUUCAAAACCCAAGUCGACCCCGUUUUCAUCCAAAAAAUGGUGUCAACAGCUUGGCGACUCCACUGGGGAGAUUUUUUCAGAAAAUAGUGAGUCGAGCCACGAGUUGAUUAAUUUUAUCUUUUGUCGAAAAUUGAGAACUCGAUUUAAAUAUACGGUCCUUUCAUUGCAUCUCAUUCAUCUUUAUUGCAAUUGUUAUCGUUGUAUUUGUAACUGUUGUGUUGGUUUAAAUUUUUGUAUCCAUCUGCAUAGCAUUGCAUGAACGUUGGUCACACCCUUUUAAGUGGGAGUGAGAAGCUACGCCUUCGUGAGGUUUUCACCUCCGCAUGGGAUAGUGAACCGCUUCCGGGAUACAUCUGUACCUAUGUCUUCGUGAGAUUUUCAUCUCCGCAUGGCCAUAGGGAAAUGUAUCCCCCUGAGCUGAACUCGAUCUAUAUGAGCCUAUAAUGGGUGAGGAUCGAGGAAUCUGCCGGUUCGGGUACCCUUACUUUAGAGCCAAACCUCAUGUAGUGAGCUAUAGGAACCCACCUAGAUAGAGCUACGCCAAGCCUUAGUGUUUACCCAAAUGGAUGCUUUAUUUAUCGUCAUUUACUCUAAAUCUUGUUCUGUGUUUAAUACUGAUUUGUUUUGUUUGUGGUUGCAUGGCAUUUUCAUUCUAAAAGAGGUGUCGAUUCACGUUCAGUAUCUAGAUAGAAAGCUUACCAUGGAAAAGGGGUUUUUUGAUAAAGUAGAAGAUAAUGCGGCUGUGCGAAUAUGGGCUGAGACGACACAACGGGAGAAAGGCGAUAGUCUUACCAAGGGGCACGUGUCAGAAUUGUGGGAUUUCACCCGUAUUAGUGUGAUCCAGAAUGAUCUUCGAGAAAUGAAAGAAAUUUGGGAUCAAUGGGAUAACGAAACCAAGCAACUGUUCUAUUGUAACUACGGUGACCUGCCUUAUCUGCUCAGUAUCAAAGUGGACAAGUAUUUGUUUCGAGCCCUUGCUCAAUUCUGGAAUCCUGCCUACAGUUGUUUCACUUUUGGAAAAGUGGAUUUGACGCCUACUGUGGAAGAAUAUACGACCCUGCUUUGGUGCCCAAAGAUUCAAGUCGACAAAACUUAUUCUAGAGCUGCCGGUACCCUUCCGAUGUUAAAGAAAUUAAUGAACAUCACUGGGAUGAGCGAGCAGUGGGUUGCUGCCCGAAUCCAGCAGAAAGGCGACAGUAAAUGCGUUCAUUGGAAAAGCUUGCGAGAUUUGGUGCUAGUGCAUCCUGAUGCAAAGAAAAGGGUCGAUGUCUUCGCUUUAGGUAUCUACGGACUAGUGGUCUUCCCUAAAGCAUUAGGACACAUAGAUGAGGCCAUUUCUGAUUUAUUUGAUCGGCUUAGUAAAGGGGUUACUCCCGUUCCAGCAAUACUGGCUGAAACUUUCAGAUCUUUGAACGCAUGCCGGAGAGCGGGAGAGGGAAGGUUCAUUGGAUGUCCCCAGCUCUUAUUAGCAUGGUUUCAUAGCCACUUCUGGAAAGUAGAAAAGAUCUCUUACCGGGUUUUCUCUGACAGUUACUCCCCUCUAGAAGAUUUGGUAGCCACACCGAGAAGGGACGACGUUUCGGAAGAAAAAUGGAUGGCGAUACUCCAGAACCUUCAAGAUGAGGAUGUUGAAUGGAGGGCUCAUUGGUUAAUCCCCGAUGAGAUUUUAUACCGGUGCGGAAAUUUUGACUGGGUCCCUUUGCUCGGAAUAUGGGGAGCUAUCGGAUAUGCUCCUCUACUCGUAUCAAGACAGUUUAGAUCACGACAAUUCAUACCAGCAAUGCAAGGACUCGCCCAAUGUGAAUUUUCCUAUAAGGAGGACAAUUACAAGAAAAAGGUUCGAGAAAUAUCUAAUGCAUGGAACCAAACUUGUCGAAUGAAGAUCUUAGCUGUGGGUCUGACAAUGACCCCCGAGUACAGUCAAUGGCGUGAUCAAAGGGUCAAUGACAACAUCCCGGCAUCAGAUCCAGAAACUGUUUGAUCUUUAGAAGAACACUUACAAGUAUUACCUUCUGAGAUAGAAAUCGUCAAACAAGAAUUUGAAAAAAGGAGUUUGGAGUUAGGGAAGAAAAUAGAGCAACUAGAAGAUGAAAAAAUGCAAUUAGGACUGGAUGUGGACAUUCAAAGGUUAGAGGCUGACAAAUUGAGAAAAGGAAAGAACAAGGCGGAAGAAGAUUUAGACAGCCUGAAGACAGAUUACAAGAAGUUGCGUAGGUCAAUGAGAACUGCCGGCCUGGGUAAAAUGUCAGAACAAUGGCGACGGGAGAUCCUGGAGGAAAGGACUAAAGCCGAUCAAUGGGAAAAGAAAUUUCAGGAUACUCCAACCCGAGAAGUUGUUCUGAAAGAAAGUCUACUAGUUUGCCAAAAUGAGAAGGCGGGGUUGAAAGUCCGGGUAGCUGAGCUAGAAAAGUCGCUUCACCAACACCGUAGUCGUAAUUCUACGAUCGAAUUAAAGGCAAGUUUAGGCAAAAUUGAGGAAUUGAAGGAACGGGUAGGAGAGCUCGAAGAUGCACUAUGAAACAGUGAACUCUGGAUAGAGCUUCUUGAGAGGGGUAAUGAACAGUGGCAAGAGCAAUUCCAUCGAUCGCAAAAUCAGAUUAGAGAAAGAGACUAUAUUAUGGGUGAGGCAGUGGCACAAAUACGCGAGGUGGCUGAGCACCUACAGACCCUAGCAGUCCAAGCUGAUGUGUUGAGUCUGAAGUAUGAGUCAGAAUCAGACAGAGGCCGAGAAUUAGCUUGGCUUCUUAGGAAGGUCAAGGCUUUGAGUAUAAGGGCAAAGCCGUAUAUGUAAUCUAUUCUAUGUAAAGAAAUUUCUUUUCUAGUAAAGUUUUCCUAAUGAAAUUGAAUUAGAGUCAAUACCUCUUUUUGCAUUCAUUUCAUUCAUUUGCAUCGUAUUAUGCAUUAAGUAUAAUACAAGACCCUAAUAAAUUAAAAUUAUAACAGUUAUCCUGGAACACCCUUACGGGACCAGAAAGAAAAUAAAAGCAAUGGAUCAACGGAUAGAACGAUUGGAACAAAUGCAGAAAGAAAUGCAAGAUAAGAUGCAGGAACAAUUGGAUGUGCUGGAAUCCCAAAGAGCCAUAAUGAGUCAACUGACACAAUUAUUGGCCGAUAAAGGAAAGGCCCCUGCCAUCAGUUCGGGAGUUGAUCAGGAGGACCCUGUUUAUCCUCCAGGUUUUACCCCAACAAGCACUCAGGCACAGUCGGAUAUGUGUCAACAAGGAGCGCGUGUUCACAUUAGACCUCAAUGCCAGGUUGACACUUUGGCACCAAUAAAUUUUCAGAUAGGCUCGGGUUCUAACCCGGGAGAUAAUCAGGCCAACCCUAUCGUUCCUGAUCUGAAUAAUGUAGCGGAAGCAGAAAAGGCAAGAGUAGAUUUAUCGAAACAACUUGAGGAUAGGUGUAAGUGGUUAGAAGAGAAGUUCAGAGCAAUGGAGAAUGCUGAUUACCGUGGCAGGAUCGAUGCUAAGGACUUGAGUUUGGUCCCUGACUUAGCUCUUCCGCAUAAGUUUAAAAUGCCCGAAUUCGAGAAAUACAAAGGGACUAGCUGUCCUGAAGCCCAUAUCACUAUGUUCUGUAGGAGGAUGACAGGAUAUAUUGACAAUGAUCAAUUGUUAAUUCACUGCUUCCAGGAUAGUCUGAUAGGAGCUGCUGCCAAAUGGUACAAUCAGCUGAGUCGUACCCAAAUUAGUUCGUGGAAAGAUUUGGCACAAACCUUCAUGAGACAGUAUAGCCACGUAGCAGAUAUGACGCCUGAUAGGAUCGCGCUACAAAACAUGGAGAAGAAACAAAAUGAAAGCUUCAGGCAGUACGCCCAGAGGUGGAGGGAGGUGGCAACUCAAGUUCAGCCGCCUCUACUGGAAAAGGAAACCACAAUGCUCUUUAUCAAUACUUUAAAGGCCCCGUUCAUCAACCAUAUGUUGGGAAGUGCCACCAAAAGUUUCUCAGAUAUAGUGAUGACUCGGGAAAUGAUCGAAAAUGCGGUAAGAAGUGGUAAAAUAGAUGCAGGGGAAAAUUCUAAAAGAUCGACCUCAAGGAAGAAGGAAGGUGAGAUAAAUAAUGUGAAUAAGGGAUAUUCAAAGUCAAUCACCGUCGGUUCGCCAAAGACGGUAGCUACCAGUCAUCAGGGUUCUCAGAAGCAGGAGACCAACUCAAGGACAGAAAGACUCCAGUUUACACCUAUCCCAAUAACUUACAAAGAGCUGUACCAAAAUCUAUUUAAUGCACGUGUGAUAGCUCCUUUUUAUCUGAAACCCUUGCAACCCCCAUUCCCUAAGUGGUACGACUCGAACGCUCAAUGCGAAUAUCAUGCAGAGAUAGAGGGGCAUUCAAUCGAGAAUUGUACUGUGCUCAAGAAAGUUGUUGAAAGACUCAUUAAAAUGGGUAUCGUGAAGUUAGAUGAUCCCUCUGGACCAAAUGUAGCAGGUAACCCAUUACCUGAUCACACGGAUAAAGGAGUAAAUGCGAUAGUUGAGGGUGGCAGCAAGAGAAUUAAGACAGACGUGAUGGAGGUAAGAACCCCAAUGAAAUGUGUUUGGGGUCAGAUGGUAUAUAGAGGUCUAAUCACACGAGAUGCAGAUGGAAGGUCUAGGAGGGAAGGAGCAUACUGUGAAUUCCAUGCCAAGGAAGGUUAUAAUAUUCAGGAAUGUACAGAGUUUAGGACCUUGGUACAAGAUUGGAUGGACAAUAAGGAGAUAGAGUUUUAUGAAGAAUUCAAGGAAUUUGAAGAAAGAGAGGUCUGUGCCUCAGAAGGACCCGUAGAAGGAUAUCAGAAGGUCAAUCACCCAGUGGUAAUUAUUUCACGAUCGAGGAGCAACGAAGCGGGGAUACAUGUGCCACCGGAAGUCAUAAUCCAAAAGCCUGCACCCUUCUCCUAUAAGGAUAACAAAAAGGUUCCAUGGAAUUAUGACUGUAACGUGACAAUUCCAGAAGAAGGAAACCUGAAAAGCGCUUCAGAGGAGAGCAAUGAUGAUGGCUUCUACACACGUAGUGGAAGGCGUUACGAUCCAGCAACGUCAAAAACAGAGCUUGUGAAAGGAAAAACCUCGACGGUUGAGCAGAAGAAAGGAAAAGUGGUCCGAUCCGAAUCACUUGUCAACAAGCCAGCAACAGAGAAUGAAGCUAGUGAGUUUUUAAAAUUUUUGAAACACAGUGAAUACAGUGUUGUAGAGCAGUUGCAUAAACAGCCAGCUCGUAUUUCAGUACUAGCAUUGCUUUUAAGCUCAGAAGCACAUCGUAGAGCGCUGAUGAAAGUUUUAAAUGAAACUUACGUUGCUGAUGACAUUUCUGUGAACAAGUUAGACCGUUUGGUUGGUAAUAUAAGCGCUGAUAAUUUCAUCUCCUUUAGCGACGACGAGAUACCACCAGGGGGUAUGGGAUCGACCAAAGCCCUACACAUUACAAUCCGCUGCAAGGGGUAUAUAUUGCCUGGAGUAUUAAUUGAUAAUGGAUCAGCCCUAAACGUCUUACCCUUAGCCACCUUAAAUAGGCUGCCCGUAGACAGCUCGCAUAUGAAAACGUGCCAAAGUAUGGUAAGGGCUUUUGAUGGUACUGAGAGAAGAGUAAUGGGAAGGAUUGAAAUUCCUUUUUUGAUCGGCCCAAGCACGUAUGAGGUGGAUUUCCUGGUAAUGGACAUCAAGCCUUCUUACAAUUGUCUGUUAGGAAGACCUUGGAUUCAUUCGGCAGGGGCAGUACCGUCAUCGCUUCACCAAAAGUUGAAACUGGUUAUAGAUGGCCGACUAGUGACAAUCGAUGCAGAGGAGGACAUCAUUGUGGUUGUAACUAGUGAUACACCGUACAUAGAGCCAGAAGAAGAAGCAACUGAAUGUUCAUUUCGAUCUUUAGAAUUCGUAAAUGCAACCUUCGUUGCUGAAGGGAAUAAGAUCCCUACACCCAGAAUAUCUAAAACGACGAGGAUGUGCUUACAAAUGAUGGCUGAAAAAGGGGCUAUACCUGGAAAAGGACUUGGAAAACACCUCCAAGGGAGGGUAGAAGUACCUAGACUAACGGACAAACAAGAUCAUUUUGGCUUGGGAUAUAAGCCGGAUGCGAAGCAAAGGAGGAAAGAAUGGGAGAAGAAGCGAGAAAGGAGAAAAACGCGUUUGGAUGGAAAAGAGAUUAAAUGGGAGCCCAUGAUAAUCCCUCACAUAUCCAGGACUUUCGUAUCAGGGGGAACUAUUCACUCUAAACGGAUGGCAUCAAGAAAGGGAACCGUAGAAGAAAUAUUGGAGAACCUGAACAUCAAUGCAAUAUGUAAGGAAGAGGUGGCAAAAGGGAAUUCAUCAGGCAUUCGCCCUUAUGAGCCGGGAAGUAUUUUAAAUAAUUGGACUGCCGAAGAGAUCCCUGUAGCUUUUAAAGUCAUUUCAGAGUAAUGUUCAUAACACACUUGUUGCUCUGAGCCUGGGAGCAACAAGAAUCUUUUGUAAAAGGCAUAUGUCUAAAAGCUUUUCAAUGAAAUAUAUCAUUCAGUCUCAUUUUGAGCAAAUAUUCUUUAUUCUUUUCAUUCCAUUCAUGAACAUAUUAUGCAUAUAAUUGUUCUUAGAUUCUUUUCUUUGAAUCCUUCUUCACCUUGAUAACAGGUCCCCAGAUAUUAAUGAUAUGAGCGACACUGCUAUUAACCCAGAAUUUCCCUUUGAGCAAGACAUAGGUAUAAAAGAUUCUCAGGAUUUUGAAGACGAUCAAGGUUGUAACUUAUCUCCUGAUUUGUUAAGGAUAGUGGAACAAGAAGAAAAACAGAUCCUACCUUAUAAAGAGGCGAUAGAGGUUGUAAGCUUAGGAGAAGGGAAAGAAGUGAAAAUUGGAGCUUGCAUUAACAUGGAGACGAAGCGAGACCUCAUCGAGUUACUCCAGGAAUUUAAGGAUGUCUUUGCAUGGUCCUAUCAAGACAUGCCAGGGUUAAACACUGAUAUAGUAGUGCACAGACUCCCCAUAAAGAAAGAAUGUAAACCAGUUCAGCAAAAACUCCGAAGGAUGAGACCUGACGUCUUGUUGCAAAUAAAAGAAGAAGUUAAGAAGCAGUUUGAUGGUGGGUUUCUACAAGUGGCCAAGUAUUCAAAAUGGGUAGCUAACAUAGUCCCUGUUCCUAAGAAAGAUGGGAAGGUGCGAAUGUGUGUGGAUUACAGAGAUCUGAACAAAGCCAGUCCCAAAGAUAAUUUCCCGUUACCCCAUAUUGAUACCUUAGUGGACAACACGGCCGGUUACUCACUCUUUUCCUUCAUGGAUGGUUUCUCCGGGUAUAACCAAAUUAAGAUGCAUCCCGAGGACAUGGAGAAGACUACCUUCAUAACGAUGUGAGGGACUUUCUGUUACAAAGUGAUGCCGUUUGGACUAAAAAAUGUAGGGGCAACAUAUCAAAGGGCUAUGGUCACCUUGUUCCAUGACAUGAUGCACAAAGAGAUAGAAGUCUAUGUCGAUGAUAUGAUCGCAAAAUCUAGAACAGAAGGGGAACAUGUGCAAGUCCUCAGAAAAUUAUUCAUAAGGUUAAGAAAAUUUCAACUAAAGCUAAACCCAGCGAAAUGCACCUUUGGGGCCAGAUCAGGAAAAUUACUGGGAUUUGUGGUCAGUGAGAGAGGAAUUGAGAUUGAUCCAGACAAAGUAAAAGCUAUACAAGAACUACCCCCACCCCGUACUCAAAAAAAAGUUCGAGGUUUUUUAGGAAGACUAAACUAUAUCGCUCGGUUCAUUUCACAGUUAACCGAGAAAUGUGACCCCAUAUUUUGUCUCCUUAAGAAACACAAUCCAGGUGUAUGGGACGAGGAGUGUCAGAAAACUUUUGAAAGAGUUAAACAUUACUUGACUAAUAUCCCAGUGCUAAUGCCACCUUGCCCAGACAAGCCUCUAAUACUGUAUUUGGCAGUAUUUGAAAAUUCUAUGGGAUGUGUGCUCGGCCAACAUGACGAGUCAGGACGAAAAGAAAGAGCUAUCUACUAUCUCAGCAAAAAGUUCACUGAAUGCGAGACGAGAUAUUCGCCAAUCGAGAAGUUAUGUUGCGCUUUGAUUUGGACAACUCGAAGAUUGAGACAAUACAUGUUGUACCAUACAACUUGGUUAAUCUCUAAACUGGACCCUCUGAAGUAUCUAAUGGAGUCAACUGCUCUGAAUGGAAGAAUGGCCCGAUGGCAAAUCCUACUAUCGGAAUUUGAUAUAGUCUAUGUAAACCAGAAAGCGGUAAAAGGGAGCGCAAUAGCAGAUUUUCUAGCCAGUAGAGCUCUAGAAGAUUACGAGCCGCUAAACUUCGAUUUUUCGAAUGAAGAUUUGAUGUAUGUUGCGACCGCAGAGAAAGAUGCUCAAAGCGACGGUCUUUGGAAACUAAAUUUUGACGGUGCCUCGAAUGCCAUGGGCAAUGGGAUUGGGGCAAUCUUGGUAUCUCCCGACGGUGAUCAUUACCCAUUUACUAGCAAAUUAGAUUUUGAUUGCACCAACAACAUGGCAGAGUAUGAAGCGUACAUCAUGAGAAUACGUGCAGCUAUCGAACGCAAGAUAAAAGUGCUAGAAGUAUAUGGGGAUUCUGCAUUAGUAAUUUAUCAACUCAAGGGUGAAUGGGAAACAAGAGACUCCAAAUUGAUUAGUUAUCGAAAAUUGGUCUUGGAAUUAAUUGAGGAGUUUGAUGAAAUUACCUUCUGUUAUCUCCCUCGAUAGGAGAAUCAGAUGGCCGACGCAUUGGCUACGUUAGCCUCUAUGAUUAAAGUAAAUAAACAAGAGGAUGUGAAGCCUAUUCAAAUGAGUAUUUAUGAGGUUCCAGCCCAUUGUUGCAACAUUGAUGAUGAAGAGGAAAAGGAUGAUCAUCCCUGGUAUCAUGACAUAUUGCAGUAUGUAAAGAGUCGCGAGUACCCUGUUCAGGCGACUGAGAAUGAAAAGAAGACAUUGAGAAGACUAGCCAUUGAUUAUGUCUUAGAUGGAGAAAUCUUGUACAGAAGAGGAAAAGAUCAGGUGCUGUUAAGAUGUGUAGACGCUGCGGAAGCCAAGCAAAUCUUAGAAGAAGUGCAUGAAGGAGUUUGUGGAACACAUGCUAAUGGCUUCACAAUGGCCAAGCAAAUCAUGAGAUUUGGAUAUUAUUGGUCCACCAUGGAAGGAGAUUGCAUCAAAUAUGCAAAGAAAUGUCACAAGUGUUAGAUUUAUGGAGACAGGAUUCACGUGCCCCCUUCACCUCUCCACGUCAUGACGUCUCCAUGGCCUUUCUCAAUGUGGGACAUGGAUGUCAUUGGGCCAAUCUCUCCAAAGGCUUCAAAUGGGCACCGGUUCAUAUUUGUGGUUAUUGAUUACUUUACUAAGUGGGUGGAAGCCACUUCCUACGCUAAUGUUACAAAAUCAGCAGUCAGCAGAUUCUUAAAAAAGGAGAUCAUAUGUCAGUAUGGGAUGCCAGAAAGGAUUAUAACUGACAAUGCAUUGAAUUUGAACAAUAGUAUGAUAGCGGAGGUCUGUAAUCAAUUCAAGAUCAAACACCACAACUCAUCGCCAUAUCGUCCAAAAAUGAAUGGCGCGGUAGAAGCAGCGAAUAAAAAUAUCAAGAGGAUCGUGGGGAAAAUGACUGAAACUUAUAAGGAUUGGCACGAGAAGCUACCAUUCGCCCUUUUUGCCUAUCGAACGUCUGUCAGAACCUCUACCGGGGCAACUCCUUUCUCAUUAGUUUAUGGAAUGGAGGCGGUUUUGCCCAUUGAAAUAGAGAUUCCUUCCCUCCGAGCUUUGUCAGAACUGAAGUUAGAAGAGGCGGAAUGGAUUCAAUCUCGAUAUGAUCAAUUGAAUUUGAUCGAGGAAAAGAGGCUACGAGCUAUACGUCAUGGUCAAAUGUACCAAAAGAGAAUGAUGCGAGCUUACAACAAAAGGGUUCGUCCUAGAGAAUUCCAUGAAAGAGACUUGGUACUGAAAAAAAUCCUCCCCAUACAAAAGGAUUUCAGAGGAAAAUGGAUGCCAAAUUGGGAAGGACCUUAUGUGGUAAAGAAAAGCCUUUUCUGGAGGAGCGUUGAUUCUGACCGAGAUGGAUGGUAGGAACCUACCUAAUCCUGUAAAUUCAGAUUCGGUCAAGAAAUAUUUCACCUGAAAAAGGAGAAGGAGAGGCCAGGGUAAAAACCUGCGAAGGGCGCUUUAGGUUCUAAAAAAAAAAGGAGAGGCCAAGGUGAAAACCCGCAAAGGGCACCUUGAGACCAAAGGGGAUUUGAGUUGAAAACCUGAAAAGGGCGGCUCAGAUUUUGGAAUCGAAUUGGGGUAUGAGGUGAUCUUGUUAUACCUGAAUCAAUAGAAAAGGGUGAGCGAAAUCUUGAGGCAUCAACAGAAUACUGUAGAUCUUCUAAACACAUGUCAGACUCAAAAUAGUCUACAGAAAAGUUAUACGGGGAAGCUCAUACUACAAUAUCUGGGGCACCUAUUCCUAUUUUUGUAUUUGAUGGAAUACCCCAUUUUAUUUAGUCUACCCUCCUUUUGUAUUUUAGCAAAUUUUAGCUAUCUUGAUUAAUUCAUUUCGAACUUUACUUUCUACAAAGUUUCAUCUUGUCCAUUUCGACAAUCUUUUUCAAGCAUUUUUCAUUGAAAUAAUGGAUUGACAAUAUUCAAACAAAAGAAGUUCUGUAUAUUACUCUGAAAGCUUCUAAAUAGUACGAGGACCUGAAACAUGGCUAUUAUUUAGAACUAACCAAGCUCAGGGGUUGAAAGCAUUUAAGAAAAAUAGUCUAAUUUGAGACUAUUCCUUUAGUUUUAAUGCAAAGAGAAAAACCAACCGAGAAGCUAUUAGUGAUAAAACCUUGAUGAACAACGAGGAAUGACAACUCAAACAUCAAAAAUGGAUCAUUCUCAUGACAUUCUGCAUUCCUGCAAAUAUCAUUCAUACACACUUAGUUAGGAGCAUUUGAUUCAUUUUAAUCAUGUCAUCCUAAAUUUUAGGCAUAAUUAGGUCCAUAAGAUUGAUUAUGCAGGUCAUGUUUCCCAAAGAACAGAUUAGUGAGGUCAUAAACCUUGUCUCUCUGAAGCUGUAGUAGAGCAGGUUGAGGUUACCAGUCUUAUUCCCCUGAAGAUGCAGUAGAGUAGACUGAAAACAACAAGUCGUGUCUCCCUAAAGUUGUAGCAGAGCAGACAGUAGAUAACGGUUCUUAUCAUGUUGAAUCUUAUUUCCCUGAAGUUGCAGUGGAGCAGGUUGAAGCAUGGAGUAGAUCGGCUACGAAUCCUAUUUCCCUGAAGUUGCAGUGGAGCAAACGAAAGAAAUCAAUCCUAUCUCUCUGAAGUUGCAGUAGAGCGGAUUAAAACCACAGAUCUUAUCUCUCUGAAGUUGUAGUAGAGCAGAUCGCAUCCAGUCUUAUCUCUCUGAAGUUGCAGUGGAACAGACGAAAGAAAUCAAUCCUAUCUCUCUGAAGUUGCAGUAGAGCGGAUUAAAAUCACAGAUCUUAUCUCUCUGAAUUUGCAGCAGAGUAGAUCGCAUCCAGUCUUAUCUCCUUGAAGUUGCAGUGGAGCAGACAAAAGAAACAUGGAACAGACUAAGACCACGAAUCUUGUCCCCCCUGAAAUUGCUGCGAAGAAGAUUGAAGAUACAAAUCAGAUCUCCUUGAAGUGCAGUGGAACGGAUUGAAGCGACAAGACGCAGUGGACUGGAAGGAUGCUACUUGGAAAAGAGAAGCACUCGAAUAAGUCGAGACUCAGCGAGGCUGGGCAAAAUUGGUCUUUCUAUGUCUUUGCUCUGUUCUCGUUACACGAUAACGAGCAAAGAGGGGCAGCUGUAAAACCCAAUAUUUGCCCAGGCCAAAUUAACCCACUUAGACUAAACCCAAACCCCAAUGGCCCAAUUACAACACCCAAUACCCAACAGCCCAAUAGCCCAAAAUCAUCAAAAAAUAGGAAAAAACCCUAACCCUAGCCUCUGACAGCCACUUGUGCCGCACCCAGGCCUGCUGGUCAACCACCCCACCGCCGUAGCCACCAACUGCUCUGCCACUUGCGCCGCACACGUCCCAUCGUCCUCCAUCAGCCCUGCAAAAUGAAGAACCCACGUAAGCAGCAACAAACAAUAAAAAAAAUUUGUAAAAUGGCUCUAUAUAAAGCCAUUCGAACAUCAAAAAGGGGGGCUAUUAUUUUCUUUAUUUUUUCUCUUCUUUGGUAACAUUUUCGUAAAAAAGCAAAAAAAGGUGACCUUUUUUUCAUUUUCGCAUUUCUCAUCUAUUAAUACCUGUUCAUUCUAUUUUAUUAUACAUAUAAACAUAUAUAUAAAUAGUUUCUAUUCACAAAAAAAAAGUAAAUUUUUACCUCUUUUGAAUGCUCGACGGUGGCGCGGUGGGCCGACGGUCGGCUUUUGGGAAAGGUUGAGAGGAAAAAGGGCUUUGAAAACCUUUUUUUUAGAAAAAGUGGCUGAAAUGAAAAAAUAAAUAAUUUUUUGGGCUUUUAUAUUGUUGGCAAAACGGCAGCGUUUUAGGGUUGGCUCUCCAUGCGCAAAACGACGUCGUUUAGACCUGGAUCAGCCCGAACCCGACCCGCCUGCCAAGGAUCCGCGUGUUUUUGCUGGAGGGGAUAUUUGCGCGCGCAGUCCCCCCGACUUUGCAGCGCAUUGCAAUUUGAUCCCCUUCUCAUUAUUUUCUUCUUUUUAAAUUUAGCCACAAAAUUUAAUUUUUGUCCCAUUUUAGUCCGUAGCAGCGCAGCGUUUUGAAUGCUUGGUUUAUUUACAAUUUUGGUCCCCCCUCUUUCGGCGCGCG
rnacentral:lncRNA from 1 species